CCUACUGUAACCUACUGGCAUGACCUAGAGAGUAUCAACCUACUGUAACCUACUGGCAUGACCUAGAGAGAUACAACCUACUGUAGCCUACUGGCAGGGCCUAGAGAGUUACAACCUAGGGGCAUGACCUAGAGAGAUACAAACUACUGAAGCCUACUGGCAUGGCCUAGAGAGAAUCAACCUACUGUAGCCUACUGGCAUGACCUAGAGAGAUACAACCUACCGUAAACUACUGCAAUGACCCUAGAGAGUUACAAACUACUGUAGCCUACUGGCAUGACCUAGAGAGAUACAACCUACUGUAGCCUACUGGCAUGGCCUAGAGAGAUACAACCUACUGUAGCCUACUGGCAUGACCUAGAGAGAUACAACCUACUGUAACCUACUGGCAUGACCUAGAGAGAUACAACCACUCGUAUGCAAGCAUUUCUAAACUUUUUUCUCUCACUUUUAUGGGGUAUUGUGAUGUCAUUAUGAGGUAUUGUCUGUACAUUGAUCAUUAAUAAAUGUAUGUAUAUGUAAUAAAUCAUCCAUUUCAGAAUAGAAUGUAAUGUAACAAAAUGUGUCAAAAGGAAGGGGUCUGAAUGCACUGUAUGUCCUAGGGUGUCCCAGAUAACAAAAACAUACUGUUCUCUUUCUACCAAUUGAUUGGUUGAAAUGUUAUGACGUGUAUUUUUUCAUAUAGACACACCCCCUGUGUUUAAUAAAAUCAACUGUAUGUGUUGAAUCAAAUCAACUGUUUGUGCCGAACUUGAACUGAACUGAUGCAUAAAGCGUUUGUUUAAAUAAUUAAUACAAAUGACUUGAGGAAGCCAGAGAUCAAUUUAACCAGAAGAAAAUAACCAACCGACCUGCUGCUGGCCUUCCUAAAUUCUGACGUUAUGCUCAUGAAGUUUCCGGAGAGAGACGGAACUAGCGUGGAUCCUCUGAGGAGCCUCAACAACAUCAUGAUGCUGACUAGGCAGAGAAGAGUCUUUCCAGAUCAGAUCAACUCAAGAAACAACAGCAGAUAUCCACAGGGACUGUGGGGAAAAAAUCAACUCUUCAUCAGACCUUAAAAUACAUCAAAGAAUUCCCACUGGAGAGAAACCUUAUGGCUUUGAUCAAUGUGGGAAGAGUUUUACUGAGUCAAACUUUCUCGCUAUACAUCAGAGAAUACACAAAGGAGAGAAACCAUAUAGUUGUGAUCAAUGUGGAAAGGAUUUCGGUACAUCUGGCUGUCUGACAAAACAGAGAACACACACAGGAGAGAAACAUUUUUAUCUGUGAUCAAUGUGGGAAGAGUUUUACUACAUCUAGCUAUGUAACUAUACACCAGAGAACACACACAGGAGAGAAAUCAUAUAACUGUAAUCAAUGUGGGAAGAGUUUUGCUUCAUCUGGCCUUCUGACUGUACACUAGAUAAUACACACAGGAGAGAAAUCGUAUUGCUGUGAUCAAUGUGGGAAGAGAUACUCUGAUAAAAUAUCCCUGAUUAAACAUCAGAAAAUACAUACAUGAAGGAGUUGUUUCAUGAUAUCAAUGAAAUAAUGUCACAAUGUAGAAUGUUUUAACAUUGUAGUAGCAGUAUUUGAAUGAAUGUCAGAAUGUUGAACCCUAAACGUUUGUCCCCUGUUCAGUUGAUAUUAGCCUCAGCGGAAAAAUCCAGGCUCUGAAUUGAAAGAGUACUAUUUAUGUGAUUUAACAAAAAGUGACAAAAAAAAUUAUGUUACACUUACCACGUUGGUGACCCACUUGAAUUAAAACGCAACACUUCAACAUGUUUAGGUUUUCAAUAUAUCGCAAACUUUUUCUGCAUUUUGGUUAUUGAUUUGGACACGUUAAAACUGUGUUUUGACAUUGCACUAUUCCCAUUUAGCAAAAUGUAAUUCCAAAGAUGUUGAAAAUAAGACUAUGCCCGACGUCCAAUAUAUGUUCGGUUGAAGCUGAAAGUGAAAGUUGAAAAUAUGUAUUUUCGGGUUGUUUUUUCAAUUACUUGAAAACAACUUAAUUUCAAGGUACUUACAGCCUAUACACCUUGUCGCAGUAUAAUGAAUUUAGUCUAUAAUCAAUUUUAUUAACAAUCCAACAUCACUCCAGUAUUUCUUUACAUCAUUCAAAUGCUAAUUGUCUUUAUUCCAUUACUGAAGAAGCAUGACUCAAAUCACCUCAUAUUUCAAACA
rnacentral:lncRNA from 1 species